rnacentral:rRNA from 1 species
GUGGGGAAUUUUGGACAAUGGGCGAAAGCCUGAUCCAGCAAUGCCGCGUGUGUGAAGAAGGCCUUCGGGUUGUAAAGCACUUUUGGCAGGGAAGAAACAGUGCGUGCUAAUACCAUGCGCGAAUGACGGUACCUGCAGAAUAAGCACCGGCUAACUACGUGCCAGCAGCCGCGGUAAUACGUAGGGUGCAAGCGUUAAUCGGAAUUACUGGGCGUAAAGCGUGCGCAGGCGGCUUUGUAAGACGGAUGUGAAAGCCCCGGGCUCAACCUGGGAAGGGCAUUCGUGACUGCAAGGCUAGAGUGUGUCAGAGGGAGGUGGAAUUCCGCGUGUAGCAGUGAAAUGCGUAGAGAUGCGGAGGAACACCGAUGGCGAAGGCAGCCCCCUGGGAUAACACUGACGCUCAGGCACGAAAGCGUGGGGAGCAAACAGGAUUAGAAACCCCAGUAGUCC